rnacentral:rRNA from 1 species
CUGCUGCCUCCCGUAGGAGUCUGGUCCGUGUCUCAGUACCAGUGUGGGGGACCUUCCUCUCAGAACCCCUACGCAUCGUCGCCUCGGUGGGCCGUUACCCCGCCGACUAGCUAAUGCGACGCAUGGCCAUCCUAUGCCGGAGUCGCCUCCUUUGACCCCAAGAAGAUGUCUCCUAAAGGUGUUAUGCGGUAUUAGACGGAAUUUCUUCCGCUUAUCCCCCUGCAUAGGGCAGGUUCCAUACGUGUUACUCACCCGUGCGCCGGUCG